UACAGAGGUCUCAAGCGUUGUUCGGAUUCAUUGGGCGUAAAGGGUGCGUAGGUGGCGCCGUAAGUCAGGUGUGAAAUCUCGGGGCUCAACCCCGAAACUGCACUUGAUACUGCGGUGCUCGAGUACUGGAGAGGAGAUUGGAAUUUACGGUGUAGCAGUGAAAUGCGUAGAUAUCGUAAGGAAGACCAGUGGCGAAGGCGA
rnacentral:rRNA from 1 species